CCCUUAAAGAACCCUCACUGUGCUUAGUUCAGCCUGUUCCUCCACUUGCGAGGCUUUAGAAUGGCCUUUUUUGUUUUAGUGGUUGAGUGGAGGAUGGGACUGGGUGCUGGAGCGAGACUUUAGAAGACAGGUCUGUUUGGUUCCAAAGCCUGCACUCAUGACAACUCUAUUCCACUGUCUCUCCAUCACAGAGACUACCAGGGAGAUGCCAAGAUGGUACGGGGUAAGGCAAUGCCUGUGAUCUGCACUGCAGGUCUGGGAAGCCUUCAGUACCCAAUGGAGUGGCGUUGGCACAGAGGCUUCAAAGGUGGUUUCGCUGCGCUUGAGAUGGGCACCGAGGAAUAAAAUAUUUUCUGGAUAUGUUGCUUGCAUUUUGUAUUAGUUUCCUGAGGCUGUCAUAACAAAUUACCACAAGCUGGGUGGCUUAUACAUCAGAAAUUUAUUGUCUUGCAAUUCUGUAGUCCAGGAGUCCAGUGUCAAGGUUGGUCCCUUUGGAGGGCUGUGAAGAAGAAUCUGUUCCAGAUGCCUUCCCU
rnacentral:lncRNA from 10 species